AUCCAGCUGACGAAUCCCAAAUAAGACGAAACUCGCAUCAAACUGGAU
rfam:Schistosoma rodhaini strain Burundi genome assembly, scaffold: SROB_scaffold0000084